CCUCCAUGUUGAGACAGUACUUGAAGUUUCCUGCAAUGUUUUUGGUGUUUUGGACUACAAUUGUUGGUUUAUCCUGGAUAAAAUGGAGAAAAUUAAUAUUUUAAACCAUAUAGAUUGUAUCACACAUAAUGUGGAUAAUAGAGUGAUAAAAAAGACAUUGUCUUCAGUCUUGUUGAUGAUGGCGUAGGAGAUACCAGCGAAAUGAAUCGACAUGUUUUCAACUGAAGAUCACGAAAAUCUACAGAGAAUGUUUAUGCCUGGAAGAGAGAAAGGCCGGAUGAUUAUGUCUACUUUGUACCAAGGUCGCCACCGGAAAGCCCAUAUGGGCGACAGUACACUCAAGUCGAGCCAUCUUAAGAGCGUCCCGCCAAUUUUUUCGUCAAUUUUUUUCCCAGCUUUAUUGGUGGAGGAAGACCCCAGGUGCCCCUUCGGGCAUAAUUUCUGGCACGAGUGGGCACCUGGGUAGAACCACCGACCUUCCGUAAGCCAGCUGGAUGGCUUCCUCACAUGAAAGAUUUCGACCCGAGAGAGGAUCCAACCUUAAGCGGUGAGGGACCUGUGAUCUCAAGUCAACGACCUUAACCACUCGGCCAUGGAGGCCCCUAUAUUAGAAUUUUAGAAAACCGAAAGAGCUAGAGCUUAAAUAUUUGGCCCCAUAGAAUUAAUGUAAUUUCAAAGUAAUAAUGUGUUAUAUGAACAUAAUAAUGUCUUAAUGUUGUUAGUUAAUAUUUCUGGGUAUCGUAUUUCUUUGUAGAUUUUAUCUAAGCAAACCUUUGUUAGUUUUAAACUUAUUUGUUGAGACAAAUUGUUUUGGUUUUGAUUUUGUGCAUAAUUCAUCAUUUGAUCUAAUAAAUAUAAUUUUUGAAAGUCAUGAAACCUUAUAUUAUAAAAUGUUUUAAACAUUUGUGAACUUACCACUUGGUCCAAGUUCUAUA